AUGACUGUCCGUGCUUCCCGAGCCUUUGGGUAUGUCUGGUGGGUGGCUGCCGUCUGACUGGAGCCCAUAGGCUGUGGAUGCAGACCAGCUCCAGACAUGAGCUGUGUCGUUGGGUGAGCUUGAUCCCAUGUCUGCCUUUCUGCAGAGCUUGUUUGCUUGAGCACAGUGCUGCACUAACAUUGUGGCACAUCACGCACCUCUGGGCUGACUCGCAUCCGGCAGCCUCUGAGCACGGGCCAGACAAGCAUUCAUCCACCUUCUCACAGCUGCACUGAGCUCUCCCAAACCAGAGCUUUACUACUCGGCUUAUCUGAAAGGUGAUCCAGAUGAAAAUCUCAAGUGCAAGUCCAUUCCUCUUGUUACCUCCAGAGACACAGCACUGCUUUGCCUUCAUUCUCUAAGUGACAAAAAAAGGGGCAGUGAAAGUUAUGCCCCUGAAAGUCCUAACAAGUGGAGGUACUGGAAGACGCACUGUGACAAGGAGGAUGAAUGAAGGUAUCUGCUGCAAUCUAUACUGAGAGAUACAUUUGAGGAACUAGAUUUAGUGUCUUCUUACUGAAUGUGAUUCGCUCUGUUCCUCUCCUUCUAUUCUUUUUCUCCCAGAGGAAUGGUGAGAAUAGGAAACUUCUAACAGCAAAGGAUGCUUCUGUCAGACUGUUAACUCCCUGAGAGUAAUAACAUGGAAACUGUUGUCUGGCAUUUUCUAUGUUGCUUCCACACUUACAAAACAAAGUGUAACAGUGCUACAAUUCCUUCUUUAUGUUGCCAGCUAAAGAAUUGAUGGAGGAAAAAUAAAUAAUUCUCUCUUUUCAAAAUAAAGGCUGAAAUAAAAGAGGUGAUGAGAAAUUUACUUCCUUUGCUUUCCUUCCUUAGCCAAGAAUUCAAGUUCAUUAGGGCAUCUAAGGAAAACAAUGCAGGAAGGCCCUAUAGCAGUGUGCUGUAAACAUUCUCCACGUGAUUUUCCUCCCUUUUACUGAGUUGACCAUGGGCUGCACUCUUAUUAUUUGCUAUUGCAAAUUGUGAAAAGUUUCUCCACUUCCUUAAUUUUAACCUUCUCAGCCCCUGAUAUUCAUUUUAUACUGAAGAAUAACAUUUCAAAUGGAAGAACAAAAUCUUACUUUGUCAUUCUGCUGCCAAUCCUCUGCUCAGCUGUGCAAGAUUUUUCCACCAAUGAAACACAGACCCAAAUACUCACCUCUCAGCAGUAGGCCUCCCUUCAAGAUGUGUCCUGCUGACACCCUUUCUGAUGUAUGCUUGAAACACACUGCAGUCUGCAGUCAUGUCACAUUACCUCACUAAUCAGCACAUAUGACUGCUAUGCCAAUGAACUUAGCCUCCUAUUAACACAGACUAUCCUGAUGCAUAACCUUUUUCAUAAAUUUAAUAGUAUUGUUUGGAAAACUAUUCAGAGUUCUCCCUAUUGCUUUCACUGACCACCUUUCCCUCCAGCAUACCCAGUUAGAAACCAUUUUCUAGCUUGCACUUUUUGCUUCCAGUUUUCCCUACUUUUCUAAACAUUUUAUUUAAGCAAGAGCCUAUCCUACCCCUUUUGGUAUUCUCACACAUGAUUCUCUGCAUCUAAGGCUAGCAGAGAUUCACUUUGCAGUCACUGUAUUUUACAUGCCUGAAGGCAAGUCUGAAACCCCAAAUGGGAAGGCCCAAAGCAAGGUACUGAGCUGAUUUAUUGUCUAAAACACUAAGGGUAGCUGUACUGAGUAGGUUUUGAAUAGUUUGUACCAGGUCAUAAAUAAGACUGUGUUGAGCACAUGGAAGACUGACUCUAAGAAAUCAUGAAGCGUGUUUGUUUAUUUCUAAAGAUAAGUAUUGGGUACCAUCCUUGUAAUGCCCUCUGCGAGAACUGAGCAGAAGAAGGCAAAAACAGUGUUUAGUUUUAGAGGUUAGAGGAUUUUAGCAAUGAUCAGCUUUUUUCAUUCACUUACAUAUGGUCUUACAGGAUGAACAGGUUGUAAGCUGUGUAAAUAGCGUAACAGAAUGUGAACAAAGAGAAAAGACUGGAUAUUUUCCUCAAGCUCAGGAUGUCAGGGCAAAUACAGGCAGCUUUAGAUUGUGUUUUGAUGUACCGUAAGAAGUUUUAAAAAGUUUGUAGUAGGCCAGCAUUGGACAAAUCUGCAUGGUAUGAAUGACUAAAUGAAAUCCAGUGGACCAGAAUAUUGGAAAUUAGAUUUUCUAUACAGUGUGUGAUUUUUGUAUUUUUUUUAGUACACAUCACAAACACAUAUUUAGCAGUAUCAAACUGAAAACAACUUAUUUCCGUGAGCAUGGGACAAAAGGCAAGUAAGCGGCUACUUCUCUACCUGACUUCAUUUUACUUAUCCAUGUUUAGCUGUACGGUGCUGCAGUCCUAAGACCAGUCUGAGUUCAGGCAACCUGCAGAUCCCAUCCCAUACUAAUCCUGUGCAGUACACUACUUCAGGAUCCUUCUAGGAGAGUGAUCACAUUUGCUUCAUCUUCCUGCUGCAACUAGAGAAGCACACAAAAUAUGUGGCUGCUCUAAUAUGCAGAUAUAGCAAAAGUCCUGUCUUUCUCCUAUUAUAUACACCAAACAAUAUUUACAGAUUGUAUAUAGAAGAGGACUUAAAUCUAUCAGGACAGAUAUAGAGUUUAGUAGCAAGUACUACACCAGUCUAUUCAGAAAAAAUACUUUGAAAAAUAAAAGAUAAAAAGGUAGAUACAUUUUGAAAAUAUUUCUUGUUUAUUACCACAUCCUCACUAUUUUCUUCAUGACAAAAAAAAUGGUAUACUUUUGUAGAGGUUUACAUCACUGUAGGUUUUUAUCAUUUAUUCAUAUAGACUUAGAUGUAGAACAUGUGCCUUACGGCACUCCCAUUGAACACAGAUGCAAGGAUUUGGCUUUGCCUUUAUAAUUGUUUCUGUUAUAAACCCCUAUUUCAGAGUUCAGAUUUUGGUUAUAAAAAACGCUUCCAGAAUAUAAUCUGGCAUCUAAGGGAUCUGUCAGGGAACAUUUAUUGCUAGUUUGACUUCAGUGUGGCUUUUUUAAGUUACAGAUGUGCUUAAAGAGUAUUAUCCAUGCUUUCAGAUUUUUGAAGAUUUAAGGUAACUUUCAAUUGCAAAUGGAAGUCACCACACUAUAAUGUGGAAUGAAAGCAUUGUGUUUAGAUAAAAAUACCAUAAAAACCCUAAAUGCUCACUUGAGUUUUUUUUCUAAAUAAUGAGUGUAGUUACUUCAUAACAGACUUGCACUAAGGAUAAAUUACAUCCUUGCUGUGCUCAAGGGAAUAUGCUUUUCACUAAGAAAAGUAAAAUGAUCUAGUUUCCUCUAACAUAUUUACUAUGCUUCAAACAGUUAAUCAGAUUAAAACUGCCCAUUCUAGAUAUAUGGGUUUCUGCUAUUCUGGGCUCUCCACAGAUAAACUGAGCCAAUCCCAAAAGUCUUUACUUAUGUCAGCUCAUUUGAAGUCUGCAUGGAAGAGCAAUUUCCUUGGCAUCUGAGAAACACGACAAUUUUGUCAAAAAACUCUGACUGAAAUCUUUUAUCUAUUGUAGAGCUUAAGCAUCCCAGAGGUAUUGCUUGGACUCUUUGACAAGGGUCCAGAAUUAGCCAUACACACAACGAAGGAAUGUAGACAUACAUAGUGGAUGAAAAUGUCCUUCUCUGGCUCCUAUGCAGAACCCCUCUCUGAGCUUCAGGAUUGUCAACAGACCACCUGGAGGGAUAAGUCUUAGCCAAGAACAUAGAAGCUUUGAGAGGCAUGAUCUCCCCGUCCUUCUUGGCUUCUUGCAGCUCACUUGAAGAACAUGUUCAUUCUCCAGCUACAGUGCACAGUGCACUACUGACAAGAGGUGGAGAUAGGAAAGAGGUGGCCUACUGUCUGCUUGGCA
ensembl:lncRNA